rnacentral:rRNA from 1 species
CCUACGGGAGGCAGCAGUGGGGAAUAUUUGACAAUGGGGGCAACCCUGAUCCAGCCAUGCCGCGUGUGUGAAGAAGGCCCUCGGGUUGUAAAGCACUUUCAGUGAGGAAGAACGCCUGGUGGUUAAUACCCAUCAGGAAAGACAUCACUCACAGAAGAAGCACCGGCUAACUCCGUGCCAGCAGCCGCGGUAAUACGGAGGGUGCGAGCGUUAAUCGGAAUUACUGGGCGUAAAGCGCGCGUAGGUGGCUUGAUAAGCCGGUUGUGAAAGCCCCGGGCUCAACCUGGGAACGGCAUCCGGAACUGUCAAGCUAGAGUGCAGGAGAGGAAGGUAGAAUUCCCGGUGUAGCGGUGAAAUGCGUAGAGAUCGGGAGGAAUACCAGUGGCGAAGGCGGCCUUCUGGACUGACACUGACACUGAGGUGCGAAAGCGUGGGUAGCAAACAGGAUUAGAUACCCUAGUAGUC